rnacentral:rRNA from 1 species
AACCUCCGCAAUGUGAGAAAUCGCGACGGGGGGAUCCCAAGUGCCAUUCUUAACGGGAUGGCUUUUCAUUAGUGUAAAGAGCUUUUGGAAUAAGAGCUGGGCAAGACCGGUGCCAGCCGCCGCGGUAACACCGGCAGCUCUAGUGGUAGCAAUUUUUAUUGGGCCUAAAGCGUCCGUAGCCGGUUUAAUAAGUCUCUGGUGAAAUCCUGUAGCUUAACUGUGGGAAUUGCUGGAGAUACUAUUAGACUUGAGACCGGGAGAGGUUAGAGGUACUCCCAGGGUAGAGGUGAAAUUCUGUAAUCCUGGGAGGACCGCCUGUUGCGAAGGCGUCUAACUGGAACGGUUCUGACGGUGAGGGACGAAAGUUAGGGGCGCGAAACCGGAUUAGAUACCCGGGUAGUCCUAACUGUAAACGAUGCGGACUUGGUGUUGGGGUGGCUUUGAGCUGUCUCAGUGCCGAAGGGAAGCUGUUAAGUCCGCCGCCUGGGAAGUACGGCCGCAAGACUGAAACUUAAAGGAAUU